rnacentral:rRNA from 1 species
GUGGGGAAUAUUGGACAAUGGGCGAAAGCCUGAUCCAGCCAUGCCGCGUGUGUGAAGAAGGUCUUCGGAUUGUAAAGCACUUUAAGUUGGGAGGAAGGGCAGUAAGUUAAUACCUUGCUGUUUUGACGUUACCGACAGAAUAAGCACCGGCUAACUUCGUGCCAGCAGCCGCGGUAAUACGAAGGGUGCAAGCGUUCAUCGGAAUUACUGUGCGUAAAGCGCGCGUAGGUGGUUUUGUAAGUUGUAGGUGAUAUCCCCGGGCUCAACCUGGGAACUGCCUACAAAACUGCAUGACUAGAGUACGGUAGAGGGUAGUGGAAUUUCCUGUGUAGCAGUGAAAUUCGUAGAUAAAGGAAGGAACACCAGUGGCGAAGGCGACUACCUGGACUGAUACUGACACUGAAGUGCGAAAGCGUGGGGAGCAAACAGGAUUAGAAACCCUGAUAGUCC